rnacentral:lncRNA from 1 species
UUUUACAUAAGAGAGAAUUACUCGCUGCAUACCGAUUCAAUUAUAAGCUAUACAUAAUCUGUUUUACAUAAGAGAGAAUUAAUCUGUUUUACAUAAGAGAGAAUUACUCUCUGCAUACCGAUUCAAUUAUAAGCUAUACAUAAUCUGUUUUACAUAAGAGAGAAUUACUCUCUGCAUAAUAAUCACCUCUUCUCUGUCCCUUCAGUUUUGUAACUUCGCAACAAGGGAUGUUUUUG